rnacentral:rRNA from 1 species
GACGAACGCUGGCGGCGAGCUUAACACAUGCAAGUCGAACGGAAAGGCCCUGCUUUUGUGGGGUGCUCGAGUGGCGAACGGGUGAGUAACACGUGAGUAACCUGCCCUUGACUUUGGGAUAACUUCAGGAAACUGGGGCUAAUACCGGAUAGGAGCUCCUGCUGCAUGGUGGGGGUUGGAAAGUUUCGGCGGUUGGGGAUGGACUCGCGGCUUAUCAGCUUGUUGGUGGGGUAGUGGCUUACCAAGGCUUUGACGGGUAGCCGGCCUGAGAGGGUGACCGGCCAGAUUGGGACUGAGAUACGGCCCAGACUCCUACGGGGGGCAGCGGGGGGAAAUUUGGCACAGGGGGCGGAGGCGUGAGGCAGCACCGCCGGGGGGGGGAGGACGGCCUUCGGUUUGUACCCCGUUUUCGCCUGUGACGAGGGGGGGGUGAGGGUAAGGGAUAAAAAACCCCCGGCUAACUACGUC